CCAUUAUUCAACUCCUCUUGGACAAUCAUUAACCAGAUUACUUUCUCUUUGUCCGAUUUUCUCAUCUGCAAAAUAGGAACAAUAUCAGCAGUGGCUUGCAAGGUAAAAUUGAUCCAUGCAAAGCAGCUGAAACAAUGGCCAGUCCCCAAAGAACUAAACAGGAGGCGCUUCAGGAGCACUGUUCCUCUCCAUCCCGCCCAGCCGUGACACAGCCAGCCUGAUGCCCCUUUCCUCACCGCCGUUGCUCUGGAUCUUCAGCCGUCAUGGAGGAUUAAGGUCCAGAGCUGCUCCAGGCCCGAGUUCUUUGCCCUUCUAGGUUACUACAGACUAUCGAGAAUAGCUCCCCGUGCCAUACAGCAGGUCCUGGGAACUGCCUGUAUUUAAACACCGCAUCGGAAGCCCGUGACCGGCUCCGUGAGAGCUCCACGCUCAGCACGCGUCGCGCUCCUCCUGGACUCUCUGGCCUCCGCUCCCCCUCACGCGGGCCAGCACUGUGCCUUGGUCCCGGUGCCUCUAACGCUCUCCCCCUCCCUCUGGCCCUCCCAUUCUCCCGCCCUCAGCUUAGGCACCACUCUGCAGAUGCCUCCCCGGACACCUCUGACCUGGAGGACUCCUCCUGUAGCCCAGCAGUGCACCGCGCAGCUCCCCUUCACGGAUGCUGUCUCGAGGUGCCUGUUAGACACUCACUGAACAAUGUAAAGACGAUGAGUAGGAAGCUCUUUGCAGGCUUGAGUCAGGUUAGACAGGGGUUGCAAAGCAGCUUCCGCUAAAUCCAGCGUUGCUCGAUUAUUAACAGCGUGCUGUCUUGCGAGCCCUGCGGCCCUGGAGAAACUAUUUAACUUGUCUUGCUUGUUCUCUCAAAGAGAUGCUUGGUUUCUGCUUUACAAAUGAAGUCAUCUAUACCAUUUUUCUUGACUCCACAUGUAUGUGUUAAUAUACAAUAACUGUUUUUCUGACUUACUUCACUCUGUAUGAGUCUCUGGGGCCAUCCCCAUCUCUACUAAUGACCCAACCCAGCCCCUUUUAUGGCUGAGUGAUAUAGUCCAUUGUAUAUAUGUACCACACCUCUUUAUCCAUUCCUCUGUUGAUGGACAUUAGACAGAAAGACACACAGACAUAAAGGUCAAACAUGGACACCCAAGGGGGAGGAGGGGCGGGCUGGACUGCGCGGCUGGGCCUGACGUGUACACACCGCUAUGCACAAAAGAGGUGGCUGACGAGACGCACAGUAGAGCACAGAGAGCCCGACUCCGUGCUGCGUGGUGCCCUUAAGUGGGAAGAAAUCCAAACGGGAGAGGACGCACGUUCACCCUGAGCGGAUUCACUUUGCUGUACAGCAGGAACUAACAACACUGUAAAGCAACUGAACGCCGAUAAAAUAAAACUGUUUUUAAAGAGACUCCGUUAUAUCGG
rnacentral:lncRNA from 1 species